rnacentral:rRNA from 1 species
AUUGAACGCUGGCGGCAGGCCUAACACAUGCAAGUCGAACGGUAACAGGAAGCAGCUUGCUGCUUCGCUGACGAGUGGCGGACGGGUGAGUAAUGUCUGGGAAGCUGCCUGAUGGAGGGGGAUAACUACUGGAAACGGUAGCUAAUACCGCAUAAUGUCGCAAGACCAAAGAGGGGGACCUUCGGGCCUCUUGCCAUCGGAUGUGCCCAGAUGGGAUUAGCUUGUUGGUGGGGUAACGGCUCACCAAGGCGACGAUCCCUAGCUGGUAUGAGAGGAUGACCAGCCACACUGGAACUGAGACACGGUCCAGACUCCUACGGGAGGCAGCAGUGGGGAAUAUUGCACAAUGGGCGCAAGCCUGAUGCAGCCAUGCCGCGUGUAUGAAGAAGGCCUUCGGGUUGUAAAGUACUUUCAGCGGGGAGGAAGGGAGUAAAGUUAAUACCUUUGCUCAUUGACGUUACCCGCAGAAGAAGCACCGGCUAACUCCGUG